CUGAUAAGAGCACAGGGGACUUAGUGGCAGAGUGGCACUUAAUGAUGGUGGUGACCCUGGGCUACCAUGGUGAGCUGCUCAUCUGGCUAGUCAAUCCUGGAGAGUAAACACUAACAUCCUAGGAUCCUUAAUUUCCCUGGUUUCCUACAGGCCUGGUUAGCGGACCACUUACCUUUGGGGUAUUCUGGAAGCAGAGCUCCUUUAGCUAAAUUCCACUUGUGUGAUUUAAAGUCUCCUAAGCAAAUCUAUUAGUGAGUCCUUUCCUUAUUACUUUGAGUUUCUUCCACAUCAAGCUUAGGUUGUUAGGAGUUGGUUACGUGAGAAAUCCAAGGGAGUAAUGCUGAUUGCGACAUUGUUCUCCUGAAGGCAAGCUAAGCAAACAGUCUGAGUACACGGGAGGGUGGCCGUCUUAAGUGAUUUCCAGGUGUAUUAUUAACUCUGGCUGUGAGGUUCAGCAAAAGUUCCAGUCUCUCAGUUCGUAAGACAUAUUUCUAGAAUUUUUGCAUCGCCACAGGGAGCGGGGAACAGAACAUCCAUGCUGAUUUCCAAACUCAACUAUUACCCCCUUUCUGAGGAAACUCCACACCCACGUGUAUUUUAGCUUAUUUGAUUUUACUUCACGUUUUAAUUUGAUUAAAUUCUAUCUGGAAGCCAUCAAGCCCAGCUUUACCCUCAGUGGCCACAUACUCUAUCCUGAAUUCAAGAAAUGACCUUUAAAAUUAAAGGAGCUCUCGAGUAUCAAGAAACAAGAAUCUUAGAAGAGAGUUUGAUAGGCCACACUGGGAAACAGGAUGAGCAGGUCCACGAGAGCCUUGUGCUAUGACACUUCAGAGAGGGUCUACUGCAAAACGAGGCCACACCGCUCCUUAUACCUCCAGCGUCAGUACCAGCAGACUUUGCAGAAAGCACCUGUCCUUUACAUUUGUUCUUGCCAUGCUGAGAACUUUGGCUUGCACUUCCUGCCGUCACCCAGACUGUUCCUCUGCCAUGACAUCAUCCAUUACUAAAGGAACCUCAAACAUUGUGCUGCACUUUGUAGAUGAGAAUAAAUGUCUCCUCUAUUGGAGACUGAGAACAGAACCCUGAAAGCAUCUGCCGAUUGCUUUGUCCCUUCCUGACCAGCCAGCAAGUGGCUUUCUUUCCUGGCAUUUUCUGUACAGUGAGUGAAGGCAGGUCCUGACAGCUGUGUCAGACGCACACUGUUUACUGUGCCUGUGUUUACAUCAGCCUUGUCUAUAUUGACAGCAAACAUCAUAGGGAGGGGAAGAAAGCUUG
rnacentral:lncRNA from 1 species